rnacentral:rRNA from 1 species
UACGUAGGGGGCGAGCGUUGUCCGGAAUCACUGGGCGUAAAGCGCGCGUAGGCGGGCGCCUGCAUCCACUGUCAAAGCCCCGGGCUCAACCCGGGGAGGCCGGUGGCGAUGGGGGGCCUGGAGGAUGGCAGAGGCAAGCGGAAGUCCCGAAGUAGUGGUGAAAUGCGUAGAGAUCGGGAGGAACACCAGAGGCGAAGGCGGCUUGCUGGGCCAUGGCUGACGCUGAGGCGCGAAAGCUAGGGGAG